rnacentral:rRNA from 1 species
GAUACCCCAGGUCAGGCGGGGGCCACCCGCUGAGUUUAAGCAUA